GAUGAAGAACGCAGCGAAAUGCGAUAAGUAAUGUGAAUUGCAGAAUUCAGUGAAUCAUCGAAUCUUUGAACGCACAUUGCGCCCCUUGGUAUUCCGAGGGGCAUGCCUGUUCGAGCGUCAUUUCAACCAUCAAGCCCUAGGCUUGCGUUGGAGCCCUGCGGCUGCCGCAGGCUCCCAAAUCCAGUGGCGGGCUCGUCGUCGUACCGAGUGCAGUAAACAUCCUCGCUCAGGGAACGUGACGGGUUCUUGCCGUGAAACCCCCCACAUAUCAAGGUUGACCUCGGAUCAGGUAGGAAUACCCGCUGAACUUAAGCAUAUCAAUAAGCGGAGGA
rnacentral:misc_RNA from 1 species